rnacentral:rRNA from 1 species
GGUGAACGUUGGCGGCAUGCCUAACACAUGCAAGUCGAACGCCAUGGUUUCGGCCAUGGAGUGGCGCACGGGUGAGUAACGCGUGGGAACCUGCCCAGCAGUAUGGGACAACCGCGGAAAACUGCGGCUAAUACCGUAUACGCCCGUCUUUGGGAGACCAGGGGCGGGGAAAGAUUGAUCGCUGUUGGAGGGGCCCGCGUCGGAUUAGGUCGUUGGUGGGGUAAAGGCCCACCAAGCCGACGAUCUGUAGCUGGUCUGAGAGGACGACCAGCCACACUGGGACUGAGACACGGCCCAGACUCCUACGGGAGGCAGCAGUGGGGAAUUUUGGACAAUGGGCGAAAGCCUGAUCCAGCAAUGCCGCGUGCAGGAAGAAGGCCUUCGGGUUGUAAACUGCUUUUGUACGGAGCGAAAAGGUCCUUUCUAAUACAAGGGGCUCAUGACGGUACCGUAAGAAUAAGCACCGGCUAACUACGUGCCAGCAGCCGCGGUAAGAC